rnacentral:rRNA from 1 species
GACGUAGGGCGCAAGCGUUGUCCGGAUUUAUUGGGCGUAAAGAGCUCGUAGGCGGUUUGUCGCGUCUGCUGUGAAAACUCGGGGCUUAACUCCGGGCCUGCAGUGGGUACGGGCAGACUAGAGUGCGGUAGGGGAGACUGGAAUUCCUGGUGUAGCGGUGAAAUGCGCAGAUAUCAGGAGGAACACCGGUGGCGAAGGCGGGUCUCUGGGCAGUAACUGACGCUGAGGAGCGAAAGCGUGGGGAGCGAACAGG